rnacentral:lncRNA from 1 species
AUGGAGAGCUACUGAUUUGUGUACAUUAAUUUUGUAUCCUGAAACUUUGCUGAAUUGUUUUAUCAGUUCUAGGAGCUUUUGGAGCAGUCUUUGGGAUUUUCUAGAUAUACAAUCAUAUCGUCAGCAAAUAGCAACAGUUUGACUUCCUCUUUAUUAUACAACCUCGAAACAUUCCAUUCUUUGUGUAUUUUGUACAUUCAUAGCCUGUGUGUGUACAUGCAGGGAGAAACUGUACACCCUCUGUCUCUCUCCACUGUGUAUGAAUUCCACAUGUGCCUCUUUUAUAAUAGAACAACUGAAUUUUAUAAGUUUUCAGCAAAGUCAAAUAAACAGUGUGUGGAUUUGAGUAUUUUCUUUCCUUAUUUGACCCAGAAGAGGAAUUUAAUUUAUAAAAGAAGACUAGAAUCACAAACAUGGCUCCACAUUUU